rnacentral:rRNA from 1 species
UACGGAGGGAGCUAGCGUUGUUCGGAAUUACUGGGCGUAAAGCGCGCGUAGGCGUUUUCCAAGUCAGUGGUGAAAGCCCGGGGCUCAACCCCGGAAUAGCCUUUGAAACUGGAAAACUAGAAUCUUGGAGAGGUCAGUGGAAUUCCGAGUGUAGAGGUGAAAUUCGUAGAUAUUCGGAAGAACACCAGUGGCGAAGGCGACUGACUGGACAAGUAUUGACGCUGAGGUGCGAAAGCGUGGGGAGCAAACA